rnacentral:piRNA from 1 species
UACAGUAUAUUGUUCUCAGGAGCAACGGCA